CGAAAGCCUGACGGAGCAACGCCGCGUGAGGGACGAAGGCCUCUGGGCUGUAAACCUCUUUUCUCAAGGAAGAAGAUAUGACGGUACUUGAGGAAUAAGCCACGGCUAAUUCCGUGCCAGCAGCCGCGGUAAUACGGGAGUGGCAAGCGUUAUCCGGAAUUAUUGGGCGUAAAGCGUCCGCAGGCGGCUUUUCAAGUCUGCUGUUAAAGCGUGGAGCUUAACUCCAUCAUGGCAGUGGAAACUGAAAGGCCUGAGUAUGGUAGGGGCAGAGGGAAUUCCCGGUGUAGCGGUGAAAUGCGUAGAUAUCGGGAAGAACACCAGUGGCGAAGGCGCUCUGCUGGGCCAUUACUGACGCUCAUGGACGAAAGCCAGGGGAGCGAAAG
rnacentral:rRNA from 1 species